rnacentral:rRNA from 1 species
GAUGAACGCUGGCGGCGUGCCUAAUACAUGCAAGUCGAGCGAACAGACGAGGAGCUUGCUCCUCUGACGUUAGCGGCGGACGGGUGAGUAACACGUGGAUAACCUACCUAUAAGACUGGGAUAACUUCGGGAAACCGGAGCUAAUACCGUAUAACAUGUUGAACCGCAUGGUUCAACAGUGAAAGACGGUCUUGCUGUCACUUAUAGAUGGAUCCGCGCCGCAUUAGCUAGUUGGUAAGGUAACGGCUUACCAAGGCAACGAUGCGUAGCCGACCUGAGAGGGUGAUCCGCCACACUGGAACUGAGACACGGUCCAGACUCCUACGGGAGGCAGCAGUCGGGAAUCUUCCGCAAUGGGCGAGAGCCUGACGGAGCAACGCCGCGGGAGUGAAGAAGGUCUUCGGAUCGUAAAACUCUGUUAUUAGGGAAGAACAAAUGUGUAAGUAACUAUGCACGUCUUGACGGUACCUAAUCAGAAAGCCACGGCUAACUACGUG